rnacentral:lncRNA from 1 species
CAGAUAAAAUAAGAUAGAAUUUUAAAUUUUUAGUAUCUAUGGCUGAACUGUCUUAGAGUUUCACUUAGUAGACUCGAAGAUAAAGAUUAGCUAACCAAGAGUCUCGAUGAGCCGACUCAUAGAAUUUUGAUAAAAUAAUGGCUAGCCUUUCAAAAAUUUCAAAACAUGAUUUAAUUCUUUUCAAUGGCUAUUUUUAAUUUUUCAAUAGCUAGAGUAUUAAUUGCAGAUAUUUUUGAGCUAAUAAAUAUGAAAAAUUUAUGGAGAAAAUUAAAUUUUUUUAGAAUCUUUUGAAAAAAGAGAAGUUUAUUAAGUUAUUCUUAAAGAUAGUGUGAGGAACUCAAAGAAAAAAAAAGAACUAAGGAGUAUCAUAAAUUUAGUCCUUCUUACAUUCAAGUAGUCUGAGA